rnacentral:rRNA from 1 species
UACGGAGGUUGCAAGCGUUGUUCGGAAUGACUGGGCGUAAAGGGAGCGCAGGCGGCGUGUUAAGUCCGGCGUGAAAGCCCGGGGCUCAACCCCGGCGGGUCGCCGGAUACUGGCACGCUCGAGUACGGAAGAGGCGAGUGGAAUUCCAGGUGUAGCGGUGAAAUGCGUAGAUAUCUGGAGGAACACCGGUGGCGAAAGCGGCUCGCUGGUCCGAUACUGACGCUCAGGCUCGAAAGCGUGGGGAGCAAAC